UAUGUUAAUAUCUAGUGAAACAGAUGUGUCAUAAAUUAUGAUUGUGGUUUUGAUGCUAAGCAGGAUGUCUGAAUGAAUUUUGUGUGAGAAAGCAAGUUUUGUGAGGUUUUAAGCUCCAGAGUUUUUAUUAUUGUAUGUUUUGUUCACAGGAAAACAUGAAUGAUAUUGCCUUAAUCUUGAUAAUUGAUUGAAUUGCAUGUGAAUGUCAUAUGAUCAAGGCCAUUUUUGAGAACCCUUCUC
rnacentral:lncRNA from 1 species